UGUGGAAGAGCCACACUCAAGGGGCCAAAGAGCCGCAUGUGGCUCGCGCGCCGCGGUUUGCCGACCACUGGUAUAGACUGAAGCAAGGAAAACAAUCAGCAACUAUGUUCUCAAAUAGUGAUGAAGCUGUAAUCAAUAAAAAGCUUCCCAAAGAACUCCUAUUACGGAUAUUUUCUUUUCUGGAUGUUGUUACCUUGUGUCGCUGUGCUCAGGUCUCCAGGGCCUGGAAUGUUCUGGCUCUGGAUGGCAGUAACUGGCAGCGAAUUGACCUGUUCGAUUUCCAGAGGGAUAUUGAGGGCCGAGUAGUGGAGAAUAUUUCAAAAAGAUGUGGGGGCUUUUUACGAAAGUUAAGUCUUCGUGGGUGUCUUGGAGUAGGAGACAAUGCAUUAAGGACGUUUGCACAAAACUGUAGGAACAUUGAAGUACUAAAUUUAAAUGGGUGCACAAAGACUACAGACGCUACAUGUACUAGCCUUAGCAAGUUCUGUUCCAAACUCAGGCACCUUGACUUGGCUUCCUGUACAUCAAUAACAAACAUGUCUCUAAAAGCUCUGAGUGAGGGAUGUCCACUGUUGGAGCAAUUGAACAUUUCCUGGUGUGACCAAGUAACCAAGGAUGGCAUCCAAGCACUAGUGAGAGGCUGUGGGGGUCUCAAAGCCUUAUUCUUAAAAGGCUGCACACAGCUAGAAGAUGAAGCUCUCAAGUACAUAGGUGCACACUGUCCUGAGCUGGUGACUUUGAACUUGCAGACCUGCUUGCAAAUCACAGAUGAAGGUCUCAUUACUAUAUGUAGAGGGUGCCAUAAGUUACAGUCCCUCUGUGCCUCCGGCUGCUCCAACAUCACGGAUGCCAUCCUGAAUGCUCUGGGUCAGAACUGCCCACGGCUUAGAAUAUUAGAAGUGGCAAGGUGUUCUCAAUUAACAGAUGUAGGCUUUACCACUCUGGCCAGGAAUUGCCAUGAGCUUGAAAAGAUGGACCUGGAAGAGUGUGUUCAAAUAACAGAUAGCACCUUAAUCCAACUUUCUAUACACUGUCCUCGACUUCAAGUAUUGAGUCUAUCUCACUGUGAGCUGAUCACAGACGAUGGAAUUCGUCACCUGGGGAAUGGGGCCUGCGCUCAUGACCAGCUGGAGGUGAUUGAACUGGACAACUGCCCACUAAUCACAGACGCAUCCCUGGAGCACUUGAAGAGCUGUCACAGCCUUGAGCGGAUAGAACUCUAUGACUGCCAGCAAAUCUCACGGGCUGGAAUCAAGAGACUCAGGACCCAUUUACCCAAUAUUAAAGUCCACGCCUACUUCGCACCUGUCACUCCACCCCCAUCAGUCGGGGGCAGCAGACAGCGCUUCUGCAGAUGCUGCAUCAUCCUAUGACAGUGGAGGUGGCAGCCGUGGCGAACUGAGUAUUUAAUGACACUUCUAGAGUUACCGCGGAGUCACCAGUGGAAGCGACCCAGUGUUCUGGGCAAGGGUUACAACGUGAGGCAGUGUCCAGAUUCCCAGAGCCACACGUACAUAUACAUACCCAUCCACUCUAGCUCUGUGACGGGGGACUGAAGAUUGUGCUGGCUUUAUCAAGUGGAUUGAUAAAACUUAGCCAUUCCUGUUGGACGUUCCCAGAAGAAAAUCAUAGGCAAGUCCAUUGCCCUUACCUCGCCUAGGAAGGAGUGAAGAUGGUUAAACACAAGCUCCCAAGUCAUUGCCUGACCUCCACCCAAAUGACCUGAACGACCUGCUGUCUCAUCUUGCUUUAGAGCUGUAAAGGUUAAAAGAGCAGGGCGUCCCUGAGCUUAGGUCAGCACCAGGUAGUAGCCAUCUGGAUUCUGCACUGAAAGCGGUAAAAAGGGCACCACUGGGGUGAGGCUGGCCCCCAACCACCACGAGGAUGCACUCCCAACAACGAGCGGCCUGCAGCGCACCUGCACACCCCAGUCGUCUUCCCCUCGCCGCCAAUCCACCUUUUCAGGAAGCCUCCCUGUGCACUGGAGCAUCACGGGAGGGGCCGGGCAGGCAUCCAGAGAACCAGGCCUACCAGCUGACUGGUCAGCAAGCACCUGCCCUUCCGCUUGAUUGUUGCAGUUUGUGGGGGUUAGGGAAGGGGGGGGGGGGCUUACCUUCCAUGGUAAUACACUUACGAGAAUGCAUUUAUUCAGUCACGUUUUUCCUGAGCAAUAAAUAGCUGUCUUUUUGCUAUACGAUCUCUGUCUCUGACACAAAGCUAGUGUCUCCCUCUAAAACUCCUACCUUUUUUCACCACGGCCACAAAGUACGAUUCAUCCUUAAGAUUCUGAACCACCUGCAAGGGAGAAGGGAUCACUAAGAUAAUUCCGUUCUUAUAGCCCAACGGAAUAAGCCAGGGUAGGUAGGGAGAGGGAAAGGAGUGACCAGGCCUUAGUGGAGCCUUAUAGGGAACCACCGCCCCUUACCUGGUCACUAAGGAGAAUGAGGAUACCCCCAGGGCCCUGAUGGAAGAGGCGGUGGAUCUGAUUGGCUGGGAGGUUCAAGAGCUCUGCCAGUUUUCCCAUCAGUUCAAUGGCGCUGAGUUCAUCCAGAGAAAUCUCUUGAUAAAAACCUGGGAUGUGGGUAGCAGGGGGUCAGUGGGGAGAGAGGUCUAGAGGGAACCCCAGAUACCAGGAGGAUGAGAGGGCAUGGUGACCGCCUCAUGGUGGGUGUGAGGGGAGAGAGUAAAGAAAGAAAAAGGCUUAUAAACCCACUUUGUCUUCGCCUCCUAUUCCUCAACUGAGGGGAGGCCCCAGAUGAAAGAGGAGAUGGGAAAUCUACAUAUGAAGGACCGAAACCCAAGAACAAUAAGAUGAUAAUGUUCUAAUCCCACAUGCUAAUAGAAUGACAAAAUCAGAAGGGGUUAGAGAGCAUGGAGCAAUAAACCCAGGGAGACAUCCUGGAAGGAGAGGACUAGUCUGGUCAUGGAAGGCAGGGGAAUGCAAGGAGGGCAUGCGGGUCCCAGGAAUGGUGGGGCACCACCCUUUCCCCAGGCCAGAAGAGGGUUCGUGCGGCCACACCUUCGUUUCUUCUGGAGAGGCCAGAACCUUACCUGGUUCAGGGAUCUUAGGAACCUCGUUCUCUUGCCUAGAGGCCUCCUGAGCCACAUAUAAAGUCAGCCGGUGACGGAUGGGCCUGGGCCAGGAAAACAGUCUCAGCCCUUCAUAUCUGGACCAUCAGCUCCCGCUUGGAGCCCCCAUCCCUGGGAGAGACCCCGCCCCUCCCAGGUCUCCAGGGAGAGAAAUCGCCACGCAUUUCUUAAGCUUGUAAUGAACGGUAGAUUCUGGGGGAGAGGAGAUAGGAAAAUCUGUCCCCAGAAACUGCGUGAUGCAGAUGGGAUGGUCACAGGAGAGGUCACGGGAGCCUGGUUUUUUAGCCCAGCCCUGCCAGUCUGUAACCUCAGGAAGAUCAGUGUCCUUUUUGGGCCAGAGUUUCUUCCUUUGUAUAAAACGAGGGCGGGGAGUAAGUGGCCUUCAAGCUGCCUCUUGACUUGAACAUUCUGCUGGCUGAAUUGGUAGGUGCCACUACAGAGGGCAGGGGACCCUGUUGGCAGUGCCCAGCACCUGGCUCUAAGAGUAUUGAAAAGGCGGAUCCCGUCGGCAGCCCCGCAGAUCUGGAUAAGGUCCUGCCGGGUAAGCUUCAGCAGAUCGGUGCCUGCAGAGGCAGACAGAGCCAGAUUGGGGAAGAGGCCUGGGAUCGAGGCUGGCAAGGGACACAGUCCAACAUGAGUCUACAAAUAGCCCUAGUAUAUCCGGGUAGACUUCGAGCCACACCCGGCUCUGCCACUUGCUAGCUGUGUGUCCUUCCGCAACGUAUUGAACCCCUCUGAGCCCUGUUCUCAAGGGCGAGUGUGUAAAUUAUAUAGGAUAAUAUGAGAGAAAAAAACCUAGCAAGCAUGGUGCCUGGCAACUCUUAGUCCUAAAUAAAAGUUAGUUGAAGGGAACACAAAAGCCAGGACAGAGGCAGGCUUCCUGCUGAGAGCCCCACCCCCAUUUCCCUACAGCGGGAUCCCUGCAAGACCCCAGCCUCACCUGUGAAAUUGGCUAGUGUCCGGCAGUAGCUGGAGAACCGGUGGCGAUGUAACCACUGCUGCGUCUCCAGGAUGGAGGCUCCAGGGUUCAGAUCCUGAGGCAUGGAGAGGGCAGUCCAGGGAACCCCAUGAGCCCACGGACUGAGAACAGAGGGGAGGAGAAACAACCUCUGCCCCUGGGGGGCCCGAGUCUGAGGGGGAGGCUCAUUCUGCUGGUGGGAAGUGCCGGUCCAUGCAGGGAAGUUUUGUGAUGUAGGGCCAUAGCACAUCUCUCCACCAGGGGGCAGGGCCGCCCUAUUCUGGAGCGAGAGAUGAGGUUGCUGAGGCUUUGGGAGAGUGGACGGGGAUGGGGGCGUGGAAAGGGAAGACUCACCUCAGCUGGGCUGCCCCCCAAAGUGUCCAAGAUGAAUGGUGGUGAGCAGCAGAGCCUGUGGGGGAGCAGAGGGUCAGGGCCUCUUGGAUGCAGUGCAGCCAGUCUCCCACCCUGGGAGGCAGAGCUUGCCAGGUGUCAUCCCAGAUGUUCCCCAGAAGCCGGGCUGAGCCUCUUCCCAGCCUCAGCACACCCCUCAACCCUGCCCCUCCCCCAGGCCUUGGCUGAGGAGCUCUUCACUGGCGCCCCAAAGGGCUGAUGGGAGGCGCGCAUCCCCACUCACCGCUCCGGGGACAGGAGUUUGCAGGAGUGGGGGGAGGUCAGAGCCUGAGGGCUGAGAGGCAGGUGGGGCUCUGCACUGGGCUCUGGCCAUGGUGAACACUGUGGGCAAACAGUAAGGUCAGCAUGGACAGUUGGAGAGCAGUGGCAGCUGUCCCUCACCUCCCUCCAACUGCCUGUUAAGAGCUGACAAGGGCCAGGCCAGUGUGGUUCAGUGGUUGAGUGUGGACCCAUGCACCAGGAGGUCGCCAGUUCGGUCAUUCUGGUCAGGGAUCAGGGCACAUGCCUGGGAGGGCUGUGCAGGAAACAUCUCUCCCUCUCCUUCCUCUCUCUAAUAUCAAUAAAAACACUUUUUUAAAAAUGUUAGCAUCUACAAAAUUAGCUGACAAGCAGAUCUAGUUUCCACACUAAGCAAGAGAGCAAACCAGCCUGCAGGGCUGCCUGGGGGAGUUGGGCAGGCUCCCGGCGGAGCUGGCAGAAGCAGCAGCAGGAACGCAGCUGCUCUGGGCAGAGGGAGCAGCAGUGAGGUGGCAGUGGUGGCAGGCACAGGAGAGGCGGCCUGGAAGGUGGCCGCUUCAGGGGGUCUUGAAGUUUGUCUUUGCAGGAAACAGGGUGGAAUCCCGGGGGGGCUGUGAUCAUCCUGAAGCAGGCACAGCCCUCCAGUCCUCAGUUUCCCAGGUGUAAGUGAGGACCUUUUCUCCAACCCUGCCCCCCAAAACACGCACCUCCACAAAGACCGUGCUCUCACAGGCAGCCUGAUACUUGUCUCUCUCGUGCAGGGGCUGUUUCUCAACCUUCUCCCGGUCGGUUUUCAGUUUCCGGUCAGCUCCUUUGGGCUACAAGAGGGAGACAUGGGAAUCUCAGAGGCCCCCUCCUCUUCUCAUCACAGAAGGGGCUCUAAGAAAGACAUCCAGCCCCAUCCCUCUGUGCACAGAGAAGGAAAGAGACCCAGGGCAGGGACCACAGGCUGAGGAUCCACAGCAAAGCAGGGCCAGGAUCCACACAGCCAGUGAGGCAGGGUGACAAGCCCUGAGAGGGAGGGGAAGGGGCCCGGUGCUGCCUGCACCUUGAACACCUUGAUGAGGCAGCUGGCUGAAUGUAGGUGUUCAGGUGGAAGCCCCUUGUCACUGGGCUUGAAAGUGUCAAUCUGGAGGCGGAAGGGGACGCCUUUCUCUCCACCCUUUUUCCGAGGAGUGAACUCAGUGCUGAUGCAGUGAACCUGAGGCGGAGAAGAAGCAAAGAGGAAGCAGUGUGACUCCCGGCCCCACCUACCUUCCAGGGGGAUUGCACCUAAAACCUGUGGCCUGCCUGUCACCUGUCAGCAGCGUCUAUUCUUCAAGUGUAACUUUAUUAGGUUCUUUCCCUAUGUUGUACUUUACUUCCCCAUGAUAUAUAGGACAUUUUAAUUAGCAUUUUAUGAGGUUGACCUGUCUACAUUUAGUAUCCUUAUAAAUUGUCUACUUAUA